rnacentral:rRNA from 1 species
UACGAAGGGGGCUAGCGCUGUUCGGAAUUACUGGGCGUAAAGCGCACGUAGGCGGUCCGGUAAGUCGGAUGUGAAAUCCCUCGGCUCAACCGAGGAAGGGCAUCCGAAACUGCCGGGCUUGAGUACGGAAGAGGGUCUCGGAAUUCCUGGUGUAGCGGUGAAAUGCGCAGAUAUCAGGAGGAACACCGGUGGCGAAGGCGGAUCUCUGGGCCUUACCUGACGCUCAGGUGCGAAAGCUAGGGGAGCGAACAGG